rnacentral:antisense_RNA from 1 species
AAGGACUGUGCUCCCAAUCCGCUUACGCUCAAGGAAGAACUGCCUGGAAGCCCUCCCUGGUACCAUACCCCAGCCGAUGAGUAUGUACCCCCAGAAGUACUUCCGCUCAGAGAAGAAGGAGACGGCAAGCAGGGUGUACAGGAAGGCCCAGAACCAGCCUGCUGUCAGGAUCAGAACAAAAGAGGAGGACUGCAUAUGUAUGGACCCACUCCAGAUGGCAUGGGGACGGGGGGAGUAGGAAAAGUGGCAUGAUGAGGAAAUGGAGGCACAGACUGAUUAGAAAACCAGCUCAAGGUCAUGUUGCUGGGUUAGUCAGGCUGAAAUGCUCAAGACACUCUGUCUCAAGGGAUUUGUGGCUGUUUCAUCCUCAAGUAUAGGGGGAAUAGUGGCCAGGAAGAUCUCAGAGGUGGCUUCUGGAAGAGGAAUCUGGGUACUGGCUACCCUGCCUUGUGUCCCAUCAUUGGUCUGUCUUGCCUGUCUUGGAGCACAUUUCUCACCAAGAAAUGCUUCUAAGGGGCCAGGCGUGGUGACUCACGCUUGUAAUUCCAAGCACUUUGGGAGGCUGAGGCAGGUGGAUCACCUGAAGCCAGGAGUUCAAGAGCAGCCUGGCCAACAUGGCGAAACCCUGUCUCUACUAAAAAUACAAAAUUUAGCCAGGCAUGGUGGCGGGAGCCUGUAAUCUCAGCUCCUAGGGAGGCUGAGCCAGAAGAAUCACUUAAACCCGGAAGCUGGAGGUUGCAGUGAGCCAAGAUCACACCACCACACUCCAGCCUGGGUGACAGAACAAGACUCCAUCUCAAAAAAAAAAAAAAAAAAAAAAAAGGAAAUACUUCUAAGUUAUGUGAGAGAGUACAUAGUGACAUUUUCAAUGGGUACAAUAA